UACGGAGGAUCCGGGCGUUAUCCGGAUUUAUUGGGUUUAAAGGGAGCGUAGGCGGGUUGUUAAGUCAGUUGUGAAAGUUUGCGGCUCAACCGUAAAAUUGCAGUUGAUACUGGCAUCCUUGAGUACAGUAGAGGUAGGCGGAAUUCGUGGUGUAGCGGUGAAAUGCUUAGAUAUCACGAAGAACUCCGAUUGCGAAGGCAGCCUGCUGGACUGUAACUGACGCUGAUGCUCGAAAGUGUGGGUAUCAAACAGG
rnacentral:rRNA from 1 species